AGGCGCGACAGGUGGGCGGACACAGAAGGCGACGCCUAGGGCUGUGUUGUCCCGGAAGUGCCUUCUCUCCUCCCGGGUCUGCGCGGACGCGGCCUCCUUACCUCAUUUGUCCUCGCCCCUCCCCGUCCCUCUACGCGUUUUGGUCCCUGUUUGGUGCUUUCUGUUUGCAGCUACGGCAAUCUGGGCAUAGGAACCAAUCAGAAACAAUCGCUUCAGCAAUCAAGACCAUUGUUCAUCAUGGAGGAACCCAUGGAUACCUCUGAGCCUCUAUCUGCAUUACCAUUCACUGGGCAGCAGUCUUUUGAGCCAAGUGGCAAAUUUGGACAGUAUCCAUCGAUGCAGAUGAACCACAUCCAGGCACUGGGGAAGUGGAGGACAUAGAACAGCUCAAUCAGUGUUUGAUCCAACACUUCCAUCUCAUUAAGACAAGUUUGAUUUUUCUUUGCUUUUUAUUUCAUGGAAUACAUGAGAAUCUCUUAACUGUUGGAGUUUCCAAGGAGGCAUACCUCAUGACUUCAGUUAAUGGAAAGAACAAAACUAAAAUGCUGUAUGGCCAAAGCCACAAAGGGAAGGAUCCACAAUUUACAUUCUUGGAGCUAUCAUCUGUACUGUACUGUUGUGAUCUACUGAUUGGCAUUGGCAUAGUAGUAGGGGUCAAGUGACAGAAUCCGUGCCAGCAGUCUCCAGGUUCAGAAGCAAUUCAAGACCCUGAUGAUAGCUCUCCAGCAACCAACACAUGGUGAUUGUGCCAACUUGUUGCUCAGUUAUAAUGCAGGGCCAGUGAUUGGUUUAAGUGAAGACCAUGGUUGAGAUCAUUUGUCUUUGGUCUAAUAGAAUUUGAGUCUAGUAGAAUUUGAGUCUCCAGGGAAAGAGCUACUUGACCAAAUUAAACUAGUAGCAGGUAGAGCAUGAAUGACAGCAUAUUAUACCAUCAAGAUGUUCUUAGAGCAGUGUAUGGAUGGAUCGAUUGUACUGCCAUCAGUUGUGACUGACGUUGUAUUCAAGGAGAAAGAGAAACUUGUUUAGAAAGCACUUUGAAAGUUUUUUGAGUACGGGGGUGCCCUGUAUCACCCCGUUAUGGUUGAACUUUCUCCUUCAAAAUUACCAGACUUGGCAGCAGUGGCAAAUUAUUGGGCUAAAAGACUUAAUCAGACAUAUUCUGGGUUCAAGGCUCCUAAUAUAAUACCUGGUGCAAACAUUAUACUUCCACUCAUUCAGAUGGUUGCAUCCUGCCAGGCAUCCAGUGGGACUGGGAAUAUGGACACUUGAACAUUAAACAUCCUGAAGAAUUUUGGAAUGACAGGUUACAAGUGAACAUAAUCAGUUCUCUAUAUUAAAAAAAAAAAAAGAUUUGGGCAUAGAUUGGGCUCACAUAAUCUUUAGAGAGAUUUUUUCAUUUUUGUGAAAGUACAGAAAUUCUUAACUGCUUAUGAAAUGCUGAUUGUUAAACAGCAUCCACAGCUAUUUUGUGUUGUUUCCCUGACCCCACCCUGAAGAAAAGAAAAAUUAUGGCAUAUUGAAAACAGCAGUAUGAUGUAAGAGAAAAGAUCACAAAUUCCUUGAGGGUGGGUCUUUUCCAUACUCAUAAGCCUAUUUAUAAUAUUCAGAGUAAUUUAUUGACACAUAUUAAUAUUCCCUCCUAUCCCAUUAAUUGCCAAAUCAUCAAACAUUUAUUGAGCACCUACUCUGUGUAGGGUGUAAGCAGUACUGGGGACUUACAGUGAUAAAAGACAUAGUUUUAGCCUUAAGUGAUGUACUGUUUCACUGAAGAGAUGGAAUAUAAGAAGCCAAGUAAUUUAUGGAAUUCUCUUCUUUGUUUUUCUUUUUUUUUUUUGGCAGUGGAGUCUUGCUCUUUAAAUAGAGCAAGGCUAGUCUGGAACUCCUGGGCUCAUGUGGUCCUCCCGCCUUAGCUUUCAGUGUAGCUGGGACUACAGGUGUGAACACAGCUUGGAAAUCUCUUAACCAUGGGAGUUAAGUCUCAAAAUUCUGGUGAUACAAGUGGUUGAAACUUAAAACUGUAUUUAAAAAAUAGGAUUCGUGAAUUUGAGAUAGUUCAUAAGUCUGCAAAAGGCUGUAUAAAUACAUAUUUUACAUUUACUAUUAUUAAUUUUGUAGUAAAUUUGAGUACAGCACUCUCUUUAUCUGUGGAAACUUCAGACUCUCCCCUAUUACUUUAAUUUCAGUGAGACAUUAUUAAAUAUAAGUGGGCUU
rnacentral:lncRNA from 1 species